UACGUAGGGGGCAAGCGUUGUCCGGAAUCAUUGGGCGUAAAGAGCGCGUAGGCGGCUCCACAAGUCAGGGGUGAAAUCCGGCAGCUUAACUGUCGCAGUGCCUUUGAUACUGUGGAGCUAGAGGGAGGUAGGGGUCUGUGGAACUUCCGGUGGAGCGGUGAAAUGCGUUGAUAUCGGAAGGAACGCCGGUGGCGAAAGCGACGGACUGGAUCUCUUCUGACGCUGAGGCGCGAAAGCCAGGGGAGCAAACGGG
rnacentral:rRNA from 1 species